UCCCUGAUCUACCAUGGAUAGCCCAGUGC
rnacentral:piRNA from 1 species